UGGCUCAUUACAACAGCCGUCGUUUCUUGGAUCUCUUAUUUUACUUGGAUAACUGUGGUAAUUCUAGAGYUAAUACACGCACUAAAGCUCCGACCUUACGGGACGAGCGCAUUUAUUAGAACAAAACCAAUCGGGUUUCGGCCCGUUCGUUGGUGACUCUGAAUAACUAUGCCGAUCGCACGGUCUCGCACCGGCGACGCAUCUUUCAAGUGUCUGCCUUAUCAACUUUCGAUGGUAGUUUAUGUGCCUACCAUGGUUGUAACGGGUAACGGAGAAUAAGGGUUCGACUCCGGAGAGGGAGCCUGAGAAACGGCUACCACAUCCAAGGAAGGCAGCAGGCGCGCAAAUUACCCACUCUCGGCACGAGGAGGUAGUGACGAAAAAUAACGAGACGGAUCUCUUUGAGGCCCGUUAUCGGAAUGAGAACAAUUCAAAUCCUUUAACGAGGAUCUAGCGGAGGGCAAGUCUGGUGCCAGCAGCCGCGGUAAUUCCAGCUCCGCAGGUGUAUAUCUAUGCUGCUGCGGUUAAAAAGCUCGUAGUUGGAUCUGCGUGCUCGGAACUGGUUGGCUCACUGAGUUCAAACUGGUCUCCGGCGCUUUAUCAGCUGGUUUUCCCUUGAUGCUCUUAACCGGGUGUCUUGGGUGGCUAGCAAGUUUACUUUGAAAAAAUUAGAGUGCUCAAUACAGGCGCAAAGCCUUGAAUAGUGGUGCAUGGAAUAAUGGAAUAGGACCUCGGUUCUAUUUUGUUGGUUUUCGGAACGCGAGGUAAUGAUUAAGAGGGACAGACGGGGGCAUUCGUAUUGCGACGUUAGAGGUGAAAUUCUUGGAUCGUCGCAAGACGGACGACUGCGAAAGCAUUUGCCAA
rnacentral:rRNA from 1 species